rnacentral:rRNA from 1 species
CUGCUCAAUGAUUAUUUAAAUAGCUGCAGUAUAUUGACUGUACAAAGGUAGCAUAAUCAAUAGUUUUUUAAUUAAAAGCUGGAAUGAAAGGUUUGAUGAAAUAAAAUCUUUUUUAAAUUUAAAAAUAAAAUUUUUUUAUUAGUAAAAAAGCUAAUAUAAUUUUAAAAGACGAGAAGACCCUAUAGAAUUUUAUAAAUAUUUAAUUAAAUUUAAUUUAAAAUAAUAAUUUUAUUUAAAAAUUAUUUGGUUGGGGUGAUUAUUAAAAGUUAAAAAACUUUAAAAUUAAUUAAAACAAUAAUUAUUGAAAAUUUGAUCUUAAAUUUUAAAUUAUAAGAAUAAAUUACCUUAGGGAUAACAGAGUAAUUUUUUUGGAAAGUUCAUAUUGAUAAAAAAGAUUGCUACCUCGAUGUUGAAUUAAGAUAAAAUUUAAAAGUAGAAAUUUAAAAUUU